GACGAACGCUGGCGGCGUGCCUAAUACAUGCAAGUCGAACGCAGUGGGGACGGGUGAGUAACACGUGGGUAACCUCCCAUCAGAGGGGAUAACACUUGGAAACAGGUGCUAAACCGAUACGGAUUGAUGGACCCGCGGUGCAUUAGCUAGUUGGUGAGGUAACGGCUCACCAAGGCCACGAUGCAUAGCAGACCUGAGGGGUGGUUCGGGCAAAAUGGGACGGUGAAACGGCACAGACUCCUACGGGAGGAAGCAGUAGGGAAACGUCGGCAAUGGAAGAAAGUCUGACCGAGCAACGCCGCGUGAGUGAAGAAGGUUUUCGGAACGUAAAACUCUGUUGUUAGAGAAGCGGUAUCUAACCAGAAAGCCACGGCUAACUACGUGCCAGCAGCCGCGGUAAUAC
rnacentral:rRNA from 1 species